rnacentral:rRNA from 1 species
UUUGACUGGGGCGGUCUCCUCCUAAAGAGUAACGGAGGAGCACGAAGGUUGGCUAAUCCUGGUCGGACAUCAGGAGGUUAGUGCAAUGGCAUAAGCCAGCUUGACUGCGAGCGUGACGGCGCGAGCAGGUGCGAAAGCAGGUCAUAGUGAUCCGGUGGUUCUGAAUGGAAGGGCCAUCGCUCAACGGAUAAAAGGUACUCCGGGGAUAACAGGCUGAUACCGCCCAAGAGUUCAUAUCGACGGCGGUGUUUGGCACCUCGAUGUCGGCUCAUCACAUCCUGGGGCUGAAGUAGGUCCCAAGGGUAUGGCUGUUCGCCAUUUAAAGUGGUACGCGAGCUGGGUUUAGAACGUCGUGAGACAGUUCGGUCCCUAUCUGCCGUGGGCGCUGGAGAACUGAGGGGGGCUGCUCCUAGUACGAGAGGACCGGAGUGGACGCAUCACUGGUGUUCGGGUUGUCAUGCCAAUGGCACUGCCCGGUAGCUAAAUGCGGAAGAGAUAAGUGCUGAAAGCAUCUAAGCACGAAACUUGCCCCGAGAUGAGUUCUCCCUGACUCCUUGAGAGUCCUGAAGGAACGUUGAAGACGACGACGUUGAUAGG